CGAAGGAUGCAAGCGUUAUCCGGAUUCAUUGGGUUUAAAGGGUGCGUAGGCGGACUGAUAAGUCAGUGGUGAAAUCUCUCAGCUUAACUGAGAAACUGCCAUUGAUACUGUUAGUCUAGAGUAUAGAUGACGUUGGCGGAAUAUGACAUGUAGUGGUGAAAUACUUAGAUAUGUCAUAGAACACCGAUUGCGAAGGCAGCUAACGAAACUAUAACUGACGCUGAGGCACGAAAGUGCGGGGAUCAAACAGGAUUAGAUACCCUGGUAGUCCGCACCGUAAACGAUGAUUACUCGUUGUUGGCGAUAUGACAGUCAGCGACCAAGCGAAAGCGAUAAGUAAUCCACCUGGGGAGUACGCCGGCAGCGGUG
rnacentral:rRNA from 1 species